AUCAAUUAAGAGUCUGGGAUAUUUGGGGUCAAGUAUCCUUAGGUUUAAAUAGUACUAGGUUGGGUGACCUACUGAGAAGUUUAAAUUCAGGAGCUU
rnacentral:rRNA from 1 species